GUAGCGGUGAAAUGCGUAGAUAUUAGGAAGAACACCAGUGGCGAAGGCGCUCUACUGGGCCAUAACUGACACUGAUGGACGAAAGCUAGGGGAGCGAAAGGGAUUAGAUACCCCUGUAGUCCUAGCUGUAAACGAUGGACACUAGGUGUUGGCCGUAUCGACCCGGUCAGUAUCGAAGCAAACGCGUUAAGUGUCCCGCCUGGGGAGUACGCACGCAAGUGUGAAACUCAAAGGAAUUGACGGGGGCCCGCACAAGCGGUGGAGUAUGUGGUUUAAUUCGAUGCAACGCGAAGAACCUUACCAGGGAUUGACAUCCUACGAAUCACUUUGAAAGGAGUGAGUGCCUUCGGGAACGUAGAGACAGGUGGUGCAUGGCUGUCGUCAGCUCGUGUCGUGAGAUGUUGGGUUAAGUCCCGCAACGAGCGCAACCCUCGUCCUUAGUUGCCAUCAUUAAGUUGGGCACUUUAAGGAGACUGCCGGUGACAAACCGGAGGAAGGUGGGGAUGACGUCAAGUCAUCAUGCCCCUUACAUCCUGGGCUACACACGUACUACAAUGCAACGGACAAAGGGCAGCCAACUAGCGAUAGUGCGCAAAUCCCAUAAACCGUUGCUCAGUUCAGAUUGCAGGCUGCAACUCGCCUGCAUGAAGGCGGAAUCGCUAGUAAUCGCAGGUCAGCAUACUGCGGUGAAUACGUUCCCGGGCCUUGUACACACCGCCCGUCACACCAUGGAAGUUGGCCACGCCCGAAGUCGUUACCCCAACCGUUUACGGAGGGGGACGCCGAAGGCAGGGCUGAUGACUGGGGUGAAGUCGUAACAAAGGUAACC
rnacentral:rRNA from 1 species